UUUGGAGAGUUUGAUCCUGGCUCAGGAUAAACGCUGGCGGCAUGCCUAAGACAUGCAAGUCGAACGAGAUGGCCCAAAGAAGAUGGAGUGCUUGCACGAAGUUGGAAAUGGAUAACCAUCUAGUGGCAGACGGGUGAGUAACACGUGGGUGACCUACCUUUAAGUUGGGGAUAACAUUUGGAAACGGAUGCUAAUACCGAAUAAGAUAUAACGGUCGAAGUUAUAUAGAAAGGAGCCUUUAAAGCUUCGCUUAGAGAUGGGCCUGCGGCGUAUUAACUAGUUGGUGAGGUAAUGGCUCACCAAGGUAGCGAUGCGUAGCCGGACUGAGAGGUUGAACGGCCACAUUGGGACUGAGACACGGCCCAAACUCCUACGGGAGACAGCAGUUAGGAAUAUUCGUCAAUGGGGGGAACCCUGAACGAGCAAUGCCGCGUGAGUGAAGAAGGUCUUUUGAUUGUAAAACUCUGUUAUAUGUGAAGAACGGCUAUAUUAGGAAAUGAAUAUAGAGUGACGGUAGCAUAUGAGAAAGCCCCGGCUAACUACGUGCCAGCAGCCGCGGUAAUACGUAGGGGGCGAGCGUUAUCCGGAAUUAUUGGGCGUAAAGAGUGCGUAGGCGGUUAGGUAAGUUUAAGAUAAAAGCCCGGAGCUUAACUCCGGUUCGUCUUAAAAACUGUUUAACUAGAGUAUGGUAGAGGCAAACGGAAUUUCUAGUGUAGCGGUGAAAUGCGUAGAUAUUAGAAGGAACACCAGUGGCGAAGGCGGUUUGCUGGGCCAAAACUGACGCUGAGGCACGAAAGCGUGGGGAGCAAAUAGGAUUAGAUACCCUAGUAGUCCACGCCGUAAACGAUGAGUGCUAAGUGUUGGGAGUCAAAUUUCAGUGCUGCAGUUAACGCAAUAAGUACUCCGCCUGAGUAGUACGUUCGCAAGAAUGAAACUCAAAGGAAUUGACGGGGGCCCGCACAAGCGGUGGAGCAUGUGGUUUAAUUCGAAGCAACGCGAAGAACCUUACCAGGUCUUGACAUCCCAGUGACCGCUCUAGAGAUAGAGUUUUUCUUCGGAACACUGGUGACAGGUGGUGCAUGGUUGUCGUCAGCUCGUGUCGUGAGAUGUUGGGUUAAGUCCCGCAACGAGCGCAACCCUUGUUUCAUGUUACCAAUAUUGAGUUAGGGACUCAUGAGAGACUGCCGGUGACAAACCGGAGGAAGGUGGGGAUGACGUCAAAUCAUCAUGCCCCUUACGUCCAGGGCUACAGGCGUGCUACAAUGGCUGGUAUAAUAAGACGCAAAACCGUGAGGUGGAGCAAAUCUCCAAAGCCAGUCUCAGUACGGAUUGAAGUCUGCAACUCGACUUCAUGAAGCUGGAAUCGCUAGUAAUCCCGAAUCAGAAUGUCGGGGUGAAUACGUUCCCGGGUGUUGUACACACCGCCCGUCACGCCACGAAAGUCUGUAAUACCCGAAUGUGGUAGCCUAACCUUCUAGGAGGGGGCCGCAAAAGGUAGGACAGGUGAUUGGGGUGAAGUCGUAACAAGGUAUCCCUACGAGAACGUGGGGAUGGAUCACCUCCUU
rnacentral:rRNA from 1 species